GAUGAACGCUAGCUACAGGCUUAACACAUGCAAGUCGAGGGGAAACGAUAUUGGAAGCUUGCUUCCGAUAGGCGUCGACCGGCGCACGGGUGAGUAACGCGUAUCCAACCUGCCCACCACUUGGGGAUAACCUUGCGAAAGUAAGACUAAUACCCAAUGAUAUCUCUAGACGACAUCUGAAAGGGAUUAAAGAUUUAUCGGUGAUGGAUGGGGAUGCGUCUGAUUAGCUUGUUGGCGGGGUAACGGCCCACCAAGGCAACGAUCAGUAGGGGUUCUGAGAGGAAGGUCCCCCACACUGGAACUGAGACACGGUCCAGACUCCUACGGGAGGCAGCAGUGAGGAAUAUUGGUCAAUGGGCGCAGGCCUGAACCAGCCAAGUCGCGUGAGGGAGGACGGUCCUACGGAUUGUAAACCUCUUUUGUCGGGGAGUAACGUGCGGGACGGGUCCCGUAUUGAGAGUACCCGAAGAAAAAGCAUCGGCUAACUCCGUG
rnacentral:rRNA from 1 species